CUGGUGUGGGUGUGUUUCUUUGGCCAAAAGGCGGAGGAGGUAAACAGCUCUAUAAAGUGAUGCACAGUGAAGACUCCGGUUCACAUUUCCCUACCCACCCUCCUAACACAUUUUACAGAGCCACAAGUCUUCAUUUAUUGGAAGCCAUGGCACAGUUCAUCCAUCUCUUGCUGCUGCUGGGUAUGUGUCAUGUUGCAGCAACAUAUGUUUUAGAAAGACAGGUGUGGCUGCUGGAGGGAAGCAGUGCCACUUUCCCAUUUCCCACAGUUCAUGGAGUUAGGAACAUUACAUACUGUGGCAGAGGAGGCAGCAGGUGUGAGUGUGUGUCAGGCAUUUGUAAAUCCAAUAAUGCCAGCCUCCCCAGCGUCGCAGUGACUGACAGCAACCUGACCAUUACCAACUUCAGGCGAGAGAAUGAUGACAUCAACCUCUGCUAUGAUUCCUUUGCAAACCAUCAGUGUAUACAUCUGAAUGUGUCAAUAGGUUGUUCAGAGUCGCAUCAUAUUACGUUUGCAAAAGGUGACACCAAACACAACGUGACGACUGUUGCUGACUGCAGGAGACUCUGUACUGAAGAUCCCACCUGCCAAUACUUCACAUUUUAUACAGACAAUACAACAUGUUUCCUGAUGACAUCAAGAGAUGACAUGCUGAUACAACUUCAUUCAUAUGCUGUCUCAGGGAACAACUGUGGUCUCCGGUUCUACCCGGAACACAAAAGCUGGAUUGAUGCCCUGCAGCACUGCCACAACAAGAACUCCGCCCUGGUUCAAAUCACCAACCAGACAGUGCAGGACGCAGUGAACUCUUUCCUACAAAAUAAGAGCGGCUUGGAUGGUGGAGUGUGGAUCGGCCUGGAGCGCUCCAUCUUUGGUGUAAACGUCCCCUGGCAUUGGGUUUCAGGGGAAAGAGUAAAGGAACAUCAUUGGAGCACUCGUAUUUUUGUCGACCCCUUAAACAACCACUGUGGAAAGGUCAUCCACGUAAAAGAGUCACAAGAAUUGAAGUGGCUGGACGAAGACUGCCAUAAAGAGCUGCCUUUCAUCUGCCAAGAUCUGAAUGGAAAGGCCUCGCCAUAAUCACUUCACUUCUCGAGACCAAGAUCCAUCAUGACGACUGCAUGGGGCUCUGGAAACUACAAGAGUCACUCCACUAUUCUUCUUGAUAUUGUGUUUGAAUGAAUAUUGGUGUUGUGGGCUACUGAUUUUUGCACUGACUGUUCAUUGCACUUGUACUCACUUUCUAAUAACUGACUGAUUUGCUUUCUGUGGGAAAUAUUUACUCAUAUUUUACUCAACUGAAUGUUUCAAUAAUCAGUGUAUAAUCAGAAUCAAAAAACACAUAAUCAUUGUUAAUCAUAUUUUGUUGUUACCCUAAUUAGGAGCUAAAAAUGAUGGUGUAUGCCUUCAUCAUCUGUGCUCAAGUUGGUGUGUUUGCACUCAGGUGAUGUCAUGAUGUUCUGAGUUUAAGAGACAAUGGUGGCAGAGGUAGAGCGUAGUGAUCGGAGGGCUCUGCCAACAAGGCCUACAAUGGGAGGGGAAUGUGAACAGCAUGAAAGUGAAUGUAAUAUUGAAACAACUGAGUCUGCUCCAGGGCCCAGCUCAGUUUGAAUGUGUGUGUGUGUGUGUGUGUGUGUGUGUGUGUGUGUGUGUGUGUCACAGUUAAUCUAUUUCACUUUGAACUCUGAUGGACUGCAUUUUAUUUACUGGUAAAGUGUGGGUAAAGAUCUAAUGAAACAAGCCUGAAGAAGGAUUUUUAUUCCACAUUUCUUUCCCUGUAAAACCAAUAUUGUGAUUUAUUUAAUGCAGGUUCCUAUAUAAUAUCAUUUAUUCAAUAAAAAUAAACAUGUUUA